rnacentral:lncRNA from 1 species
GAAGGAACUACAGAAGCUUGGUCAUUAGGUCACUCUUUAGGAGACCGAAGAUCCAAGUCUUUUAAUCCCUGAAGACUAAAUUUGAACAUGGGUCUACGCUACCUGGUGCUAAGUGGCCUUGAGGGUAAAACCAGGGCUCCGUGGAUGCAGGAAACAGAGCUAUCUUUGAAACCCAAGAAGAAAAAUAUUCUCAGUGGAACCAAAGUUGGCAUUUGCUCUGGUUCAUUGCCAAAGCCCAGGAGCUGGAAACUGAUAUAAAGGAGAAUAACACCAUAAAGGACUGGCUGAGAAAUCAG